CUCUUGAUGAUUCUGAUGUUGGCUUUGUCAAAUAAUGUCUUGAAUUUGUUGUUCCUGCAUAAACAAGCUAAGAGUACAAGUGGAACUAGUUAUGGAUAAAAUAUGUUCAUGUCAUGUCAUUUCCCCUUGCAACCGAGGCAUGUUGACGGUGUUUUGUAUGUGGAUUUCUAUGGUAUAUCCACCGUCAACAAGAUCCCCCAAGCUUAACCUUUGCUUGUCCCGAGCAAACAAUCAAACUUAGCCUCGGUGGAUCAGGUAUUGUUACUAUGUUCACAUUUCAAGAGUACCAUGUGUACAACAAAGUUCUUCUCUUUGCAUGAAAAAUUUAGCUAUGUAAACUUACCCGUAUUACCUUAGUCCCUUAUGGGGCUUAUGGCUUUUCCUUUGUCUUAGGUGGUUGAGAGACAGAACAGUUUGACUUGAGCACUAACUUUCUCAUUCUUAGCAAGUUUCAUAUCAGAGGUUUUGUGAUAUUUUCAAAAGAAAGCUUAAAUGUUCCUCUUAUGGUUCUCUCAUGUCACUCAAAUGGUGUAUGAUUCCUCACCAAGGCAUAUGGUAAGAGUUGCCUUCUCUAUUUCAUCCUAUUUCUAAAAGGCUUAUGUGGAGUUCAAGGUAGGGAUGAAAGGAGAUAGCAUACUUACUUUGCAUGUAUUGCGAAGUCAAAGCUCGGAUCCUUGAAAAGAAGUGUCAUACUCCCAGAUCAAGAUGUGCAAGUGUGAUAUAUGGUGGACUAGGUUGCUCCUUUAUUUGAUAGACUCUCUAUGUAUUGAGACAUGGCUAGCAUUUUUUUUUUCUUCGAGCUUUCAUGUGCUCAAUUUUCUUUUUCUGUGGACUUGCACAUGUCCAUCUUUUUAUUUUUCUUUUAUUUUGCCAAGCCUUUUGAUGUCUCAUUUACCAAAUAAUGCUUAGAGAGAUGUUCUAACAUUUAGAGUAUGGAGCAACCUAUUUAGUGGAUGCGAAAUACAUGUGGUUGCGUACUUCCAGUGUAGAAGUAGCAUGUAUAUAUGUGGU
rnacentral:lncRNA from 1 species